UAGGGAAUCUUCGGCAAUGGACGGAAGUCUGACCGAGCAACGCCGCGUGAGUGAAGAAGGUUUUCGGAUCGUAAAGCUCUGUUGUAAGAGAAGAACGAGUGUGAGAGUGGAAAGUUCACACUGUGACGGUAUCUUACCAGAAAGGGACGGCCAACUACGUGCCAGCAGCCGCGGUAAUACGUAGGUCCCGAGCGUUGUCCGGAUUUAUUGGGCGUAAAGCGAGCGCAGGCGGUUAGAUAAGUCUGAAGUUAAAGGCUGUGGCUUAACCAUAGUACGCUUUGGAAACUGUUUAACUUGAGUGCAAGAGGGGAGAGUGGAAUUCCAUGUGUAGCGGUGAAAUGCGUAGAUAUAUGGAGGAACACCGGUGGCGAAAGCGGCUCUCUGGCUUGUAACUGACGCUGAGGCUCGAAAGCGUGGGGAGCAAACAGGAUUAGAUACCCUGGUAGUCCACGCCGUAAACGAUGAGUGCUAGGUGUUAGACCCUUUCCGGGGUUUAGUGCCGUAGCUAACGCAUUAAGCACUCCGCCUGGGGAGUACGACCGCAAGGUUG
rnacentral:rRNA from 1 species